GACGAACGCUGGCGGCGUGCUUAACACAUGCAAGUCGAGCGGUAAGGCCCUUCGUGGUCCACGAGCGGCGAACGGGUGCGUGACACGUGAGUAAUCUGCCCAUCCCUUCGGGAUAACUACGGGAAACCGGCUCUAACACCGAAUAUGUCCACUUCAGGCAUCUGAUUGUGGUGGAAAGUUCCGGCGGUGAUGGAUGAGCUCGCGGCGUAUCAGCUUGUUGGUUGGGUAGGGGCCUACCACUGCUUGGACGGGUAGCCGGCCUGAGAGGGUGACCGGCCACACGGGCACGGGGGAACGGCACAGACGACUUCGGAGGCAGCAGUGGGAAACAUUGGACAAUGGGGGAAAGCCUGAUCCAGCAACGCCGCGUGAGUGAUGACGGCCCUCGGGUUGUAAACCUCUGUCAGCAGGGACGAAGCGCAAGUGACGGUACCUGCAGAAGAAGCACCGGCUAACUACGUG
rnacentral:rRNA from 1 species